GAUGAACGCUGGCGGCGUGCCUAAUACAUGCAAGUCGAGCGAACGGACGAGAAGCUUGCUUCUCUGAUGUUAGCGGCGGACGGGUGAGUAACACGUGGAUAACCUACCUAUAAGACUGGGAUAACUUCGGGAAACCGGAGCUAAUACCGGAUAAUAUUUUGAACCGCAUGGUUCAAAAGUGAAAGACGGUCUUGCUGUCACUUAUAGAUGGAUCCGCGCUGCAUUAGCUAGUUGGUAAGGUAACGGCUUACCAAGGCAACGAUGCAUAGCCGACCUGAGAGGGUGAUCGGCCACACUGGAACUGAGACACGGUCCAGACUCCUACGGGAGGCAGCAGUAGGGAAUCUUCGGCAAUGGGCGAAAGCCUGACGGAGCAACGCCGCGUGAGUGAUGAAGGUCUUCGGAUCGUAAAACUCUGUUAUUAGGGAAGAACAUAUGUGUACGUAACUGUGCACAUCUUGACGGUACCUAAUCAGAAAGCCACGGCUAACUACGUG
rnacentral:rRNA from 1 species